GACGAACGCUGGCGGCGUGCUUAACACAUGCAAGUCGAACGAUGAAGCCGGAGCUUGCUCUGGUGAAUUAGUGGCGAACGGGUGAGUAACACGUGAGUAACCUGCCCUUGACUCUGGGAUAACUGCUAGAAAUGGUAGCUAAUACCGGAUACGACCCUCGGCGGCAUCGCCAGGGGGUGGAAAGAAUUUCGGUCAAGGAUGGACUCGGGGCCUAUAAGCUAGUUGGUGAGGUAACGGCUCACCAAGGCGACGACGUGUAGCCGGCCUGAGAGGGGGACCGGCCACACUGGGACUGAGACACGGCCCAGACUCCUACGGGAGGCAGCAGUGGGGAAUAUUGCACAAUGGGCGCAAGCCUGAUGCAGCAACGCCGCGUGAGGGAUGACGGCCUUCGGGUUGUAAACCUCUUUUAGGAGGGAAGAAGCGAAAGUGACGGUACCUGCAGAAAAAGCACCGGCUAACUACGUGCCAGCCGCCGCGGUAA
rnacentral:rRNA from 1 species